rnacentral:rRNA from 1 species
GCAUAUCAUAAGCGGAGGAAAAGAAACCAACAGGGAUUGCCUCAGUAACGGCGAGUGAAGCGGCAACAGCUCAAAUUUGAAAUCUGGUCCCCUCUGGGGGCCCGAGUUGUAAUUUGAAGAGGAUGCUUUUGGCGAGGCGCCUUCCGAGUGCCCUGGAACGGGACGCCACAGAGGGUGAGAGCCCCGUAUGGUAGGACGCCGAGCCUCUGUAAAGCUCCUUCGACGAGUCGAGUAGUUUGGGAAUGCUGCUCAAAAUGGGAGGUAAACCCCUUCUAAAGCUAAAUAUUGGCCAGAGACCGAUAGCGCACAAGUAGAGUGAUCGAAAGAUGAAAAGCACUUUGAAAAGAGAGUUAAACAGCACGUGAAAUUGUUGAAAGGGAAGCGCUUGCGACCAGACUUGCGCCCGUCGGAUCAACCGUCCCUCGUGGGCGGCGCACUCCGGCGGGCUCAGGCCAGCAUCAGUUUUCCUGGGGGUAGAAAGGCGGUGGGAAUGUGGCUCUUCGGAGUGUUAUAGCCCGCCGCGUAAUGCCCUCGGGGGGACUGAGGACCGCGCGUAUGCAAGGAUGCUGGCGUAAUGGUCGUCAGCGACCCGUCUUGAAACACGGACCAAGGAGUCGUCCUAAUAUGCGAGUGUACGGGUGUAAAACCCCUGCGCGUAAUGAAAGUGAACGGAGGUGAGAGCUUCGGCGCAUCAUCGACCGAUCCUGAUGUUCUCGGAUGGAUUUGAGUAAGAGCAUAUUGGGCCGGACCCGAAAGAAGGUGAACUAUGCCUGUAUAGGGUGAAGCCAGAGGAAACUCUGGUGGAGGCUCGCAGCGGUUCUGACGUGCAAAUCGAUCGUCAAAUAUGGGCAUGGGGGGCGAAAGACUAAUCGAACCUUCUAGUAGCUGGGUUUCCGCCGA